rfam:Triticum aestivum genome assembly, contig: Triticum_aestivum_CS42_TGACv1_scaffold_133725_2BL
UUGAUACUCCCUCCGUCCGAAAAUACUUGUCAUAAAAAUAGAUGUAUCUAGAAGUAUUUUAGUUGUAGAUACAUUAAUUUUGAUCCAUUUUUCCGACAAGUAUUUCCGGACGGAGGGAGUAGAAG